AUGAAAAAAGAAAACACAACCCCCGCAUCCAUCUUCCCCAAUCCCGCAUGGGCCGCCGCCCUCUGCCCCAUCGCGCCGCCGCCCCCGUCGCCCAAACUGCCACGACCCAUCACCUCCACGCGCCGCCGAGCUGCAGCGGUGGCAGCUGCCACUGUCACGGCCUUGCGGGGUUGGGGUCGAAUGGCACGGCCUAGCCAAGGGACGUCCAUGGCGGGCAGCAGGCACGAGAAGGGGAGCCAAAGUAAUGGAAGGAGGGUGGCGCGAGGGCCGAAAACUUCACCGAAAUCAGGCGAUCAGCAGCGCGUCCGCCGUUCCGCACGAGGCACGGCAGGGGGUAGGGUCGUGGGCAGCCGUGGCCGUGAGGCUCCAUGGUUUCAAAUUAGAUUUGGGGAGUUGGUUGUGGAUUUGGGGAGAUUUAAUGUACCCAAUGCAUGUAAAUUUUGGCACCAGACACUAAUCAUUGUGGCUCUCAUAAUGAUGCGGCACCCCAAGUUGACGGUGCUCUGUGCCUUGCUGUUGUGCUUGUUUUCUGGACGGCUUGGGAGGAUUGUUCCGAAUUUGAUAUCGAGGAAGCACACUAGCAACGCAACAACUGAUUAUGAUGUAACUCUAUUUUCAUUGCAGCCAUGGACUUUGCGGCCGGCCUGCUUAUCCUUGCCAAGGCAAAAAUGCAUGACCCAGUUUCCAACUUUGAACGCCGACAUGGACAACGGCCUCAAGUGCUCCAGCAUCUUCUUUGUAGAAUAUGUGGAGAGGCAGUUUGCACCAUAG
rnacentral:rRNA from 1 species